rnacentral:tRNA from 1 species
GUAUUCGUAGUGUAAUGGCCAGCACACUCGACGCGUAUUCGAGAGAUCCGAGGUUCGAAUCCCGGCGAGGAGA